rnacentral:rRNA from 1 species
UACGUAGGGGGCAAGCGUUGUCCGGAAUUACUGGGCGUAAAGAGCGCGCAGGCGGUCGUAUAAGUCGCGUGUGAAAGCCCCCGGCUCAACUGGGGAGGGUCACGCGAUACUGUUCGACUUGAAGGCAGGAGAGGGAAGCGGAAUUCCCGGUGUAGUGGUGAAAUGCGUAGAUAUCGGGAGGAACACCUGUGGCGAAAGCGGCGCACUGGACCACAACUGACGCUGAGGCGCGAAAGCUAGGGGAGCAAACAGG